GUUAACCUUGUUAACCCCAAUAACUCACAACCCGAAAUUCCUUAAUAACGGCGGACUCAAACCACCCUAGGGACCGUCCUCUGGGGGGACUUUACCACGCCCAGUGGUGACCAACUCCGGAGCGCACCGCUCGAGGGGGAGCUACCUCCCUCAAGCCAAGACUUAUCGUGAGUAUCGAUCCAAUUCUCAACUUGAGGAUACAUAGCCACUAGUCACAAUGCCAAUGUCACAAUAGAUUUCUACCUAUUUAAUCAUGCCACUCUCUAUGUCAACUUGUUCCAAUGUCACUAUGGUUAAGCUAUGUUUAACAACCAAUCUCUUGAUGCCAAUCAUGUCUCUAUUGUCAUUGUAACCUUUGUUUACUAUAGUCCAAGUCCAAGUCCCACAUUCAUACAUUUCUAGGUUUCU
rnacentral:lncRNA from 1 species